CCCCCGGUUUCCCCCAGUGCUGUACUGUCCGGAGAUAAAGGACCUGGCCCGCAUGAGCCGCUGCACGCUGUGACCGCGGAGCCCAAAGCCGCGCGGAAGGAAGGUGCUGUUCCAGAAUGCCUUUGUUUUCCGAGAGGAUGUGUCUUGUGAGUGUGAGCGCGGCAAGAACAGUGACUGCCUUGUGAGUGUUGUAUGUCCAGGCCGAACAGUGGUGGUGAACAUGUAUGUGUCCUCAAUAAACGUUUGUUGGAUUUA